rnacentral:piRNA from 1 species
UGGGAGAUUGGUAGAACGCUCAAGUAGUUCC